GACGAACGCUGGCGGCGUGCUUAACACAUGCAAGUCGAGCGGAAAGGCCCUUUCGGGGGUACUCGAGCGGCGAACGGGUGAGUAACACGUGAGUAAUCUGCCCUUCACUUCGGGAUAGCUUCGGGAAACCGAGAUUAAUACCGGAUAUGACGCACCCACGCAUGUGGUGUGUGUGGAAAGUUUUUUCGGUGGGGGAUGUGCUCGCGGCCUAUCAGCUUGUUGGUGGGGUAUGGCCUACCAAGGCUUCGACGGGUAGCCGGCCUGAGAGGGUGACCGGCCACACUGGGACUGAGACACGGCCCAGACUCCUACGGGAGGCAGCAGUGGGGAAUAUUGGACAAUGGGCGGAAGCCUGAUCCAGCAACGCCGCGUGAGGGAUGACGGCCUUCGGGUUGUAAACCUCUUUCAGCACAGACGAAGCGCCUCUAGGGGUGGUGACGGUAUGUGCAGAAGAAGCACCGGCCAACUACGUGCCAGCCGCCGCCGAAAAA
rnacentral:rRNA from 1 species